UACGUAGGGGGCAAGCGUUGUCCGGAUUUAUUGGGCGUAAAGAGCAUGUAGGCGGUUUGGUAGGUCCGCUGUGAAAACUCGAGGCUCAACCUCGAGACGCCGGUGGAAACCAUCAGACUAGAGUCCGGAAGAGGAGAGUGGAAUUCCUGGUGUAGCGGUGAAAUGCGCAGAUAUCAGGAAGAACACCCGUGGCUAAGGCGGCUCUCUAGUACGGUACUGACGCUGAGACGCGAAAGCGUGGGGAGCGAACAGG
rnacentral:rRNA from 1 species